rnacentral:rRNA from 1 species
UACAUGGGGUGCAAACGUUGCUCGGAAUUAUUGGGCGUAAAGCGCGCGUAGGCGGUUAUCUAAGUCGGAUGUGAAAGCCCUCGGCUUAACUGAGGAAGUGCACCCGAAACUGGAUAGCUAGAGUACGAAAGAGGGUCGCGGAAUUCCCGGUGUAGAGGUGAAAUUCGUAGAUAUCGGGAGGAACACCAGUGGCGAAGGCGGCGACCUGGGCCAAUACUGACGCUGAGGUGCGAAAGCGUGGGGAGCAAACAGG